rnacentral:pre_miRNA from 1 species
AGUGGAAUUGCUGGGUCAUAUGGUAACUGUGCUUAGCUUUUUGAAGAAUUGCCAGAUUGUUUUUCAAGGUACCUGUACCUUUUACACUCCCCCCAGCAAU